rnacentral:rRNA from 1 species
CCUACGGGGGGCAGCAGUAGGGGAUCUUCGGCAAUGGAGGAAACCCUGAUGGAGCAACGCCGCGUGAGUGAAGAAGUAUUUCGGUAUGUAAAGCUCUAUCGUCAGGGAAGAAAAUGACAGUACCUAACCGAAAAUCCCCUGCUGACUACUUGCCAGCAGCCGCGGUAAUACGUAGGGGGCAAGCGUUAUCCGGAUUUAAUGUGGGUAAAGGGAGCGGAGGCGGUUGGGUAAGUCUGGAGUGAAAGCCCGGGGCCCAACCCGGGGAGUGCUUUGGAAACUGUGUAACUGGAGUACAGGAGGGGCGGGUGGAAUUCCAGGUGUAGCGGUGAAAUGCGUAGAUAUAAGGAGGAAAACCGGUGGCGAAGGCGGCCCGCUGGACUGAAACUGACGUUGAGGCUCGAAAGCGUGGGGAGCAAACAGGAUUAGAUACCCCUGUAGUC